rnacentral:rRNA from 1 species
AAGGAUCAUUACUGAACGCUUGAGGAUGUUGCUGGCCUUUCUUUCGCAAAGUGGGCAAUGUGCACUCCUCGAACAUUCCAACCUUCACACCUGUGCACCUUUUGUAGGCUCGGCAUGACAAUGUCUGGCCUAUGUAUUUUUUAACCCUUACACACACCAUUUGAAUGUUUUUUGAAUGUCUUGUUGAUGAUGAUAAAUAAAACACAACUUUCAACAAUGGAUCUCUUGGCUCUCGCAUCGAUGAAGAACGCAGCGAAAUGCGAUACGUAAUGUGAAUUGCAGAAUUCCGUGAAUCAUUGAAUCUUUGAACGCACCUUGCGCCCCUUGGUAUUCCGAGGGGCAUGCCUGUUUGAGUGUCAUUUCAUUCUCAACUUGACCCCGGGGUUUUUCUUCUCCAGGAAGUCAAGCUUGGAUUUGUGGAGGUUGUGCUGGGGUCACCUUUGAGGUGGCUCUGGCUCCUCUGAAAAGCAUUAGCGGAAAGGUUUCAAGCGCACCGUGGCAUUGAUAAUUUUGUCUAUGCCUCCGGUGAAGCUGAGCUUUACCAUGUUCGCUUAGAGUGGUCCCGCUUGGGACAAACAAAAACACACCUUUGACAAUCACCUCAAAUCAGGUAGGACUACCCGCUGAACUUAA